CCUGCGUGAAUCCCGCCCUCAAUUCAAACCUUUGCUAUAAGGCGUCCGGUGGACACCCCUUUCACAGACACAGGCGGCUUAAACGUGCAUCAUGUCCGGAGGUCGUUCUUCAUCUGUUGCAGCAGCCCAGGUCCAUAAUGCGGGAUUGACGUUGACCCAGGAGUUCAACGAGAUUUUCGCUGCGCCAACAACUGCUGAACUACAAGACCUAGAUUUUACACUAACGGAUAUUGAUCUUACCGACAAAGGGUUAAUUGACGAGCGUUACGG